rnacentral:lncRNA from 1 species
GAAAGAUGUGAUGUGAUAACAGAUGGAUGUGAUCAAUGAAUGGUUGAUGCAACAUGAUGACCACACAAAAAAUAGAGGCAAGUCACCCAAAUAACGGCGGUACCCCAGCCAGCCGCACACUGUAGGCCUAGCCUGCAACGAUCGUCAGCCUAGCUUGCCGUGCGUUUACCUAGCCUUUCACGCGCACAGGCCCUACAACACACAUGCCUACCGCGUGUAAGUCUACCGCGUGAGUAGCGAACCACAGGGCACACAAAGUUGCGUCCGUCUGCGUGCGAUGGGGCAGGUGAUGGGACGCGCAUGCAAACAUGCCCCGCACAACAAACAGGACAUGCGGAAGUGUGUAUG